AGAGACAAAAUUAAAAUUUGAAAAAUGAAAAUUUAGUGGUAAUGUAGAAUAAUCACAAAUUUUUGAGGUGAAGAAUUAUUUGAGUGAAUCUUGUAAUUUUAAAAAUAUAAAAUAAUAAAAUAAUAAAAUAUAAGACGGUGAAAGGAAUGAUACGAAGAGAAAUAUGGCACCCCACCAAUUUGAUGAAGAAAUUGAUGGAUUCCAUGGUUUGAUACCAUACCAUAUCACCUGUUUUUAGAAAACUAUGGAAACAUGGAACCAUGGUAACCAUGCCAUAUCAAGGAAACCACCAUCCAAACAAGCUGUAAGAUGCUGUCACUGCUAUAUUCACCAAAAACUUUUCUUGUUCGAAGCUGCUCCGACCAAAAAUUCGAAGCUGCUCCGACGUGUAGGAAUUACUUGUUCUUCUUCCAUUCGAAGCUGCUCCAUCGUGUAAUUAUUCUCAUUCUUGGUACUGCUCCGACGUAUAUUGCUGGUCUUAAUUCUUUUCUCUGAGUUACUAGCCAAUCCUUUCCCAACUCCGAACACUUCAAGAAGCAACCACCGUACCUCGAUAGCUCGAAGAUGCUUCGAUUCAGCUUCUCCACUGCUCCGACAACCACUUCAAUUUUCGAGAAAAUUUGGGGUUUUCUUCUAUAAUUUGGUGAUUUGAAGGUUUAUCAUUGGCUUACCAGCUACUGUUUUUGCUGGAUGCUACUGGAUUUCACUCUCUAGAAUUCCUUGCUCUGGGUAUUCAUGUUUGUCGGGCUGUAGGAACUGGUACGGUGAAGCCUGGUGCACCAAGUUGUCGCUAUGCGUAGGAUCAAAGGAGGGUUCCGAUCACAAAAGUCUAUUGUUCGCAGCAACACCUUACAUUUUUGCAAGGGAAGGCCUUAAAUUAAUUAGAAUGACUUAUAUACAACCUUGAGUUGUAGUCAUUACCAUAUCAUUCUCCGUUGAACUUUUGAUGCAUGUUUUAAAGGACUUUUUCUUCAUGGUACAUCUACUUUAUAAGUACUAAAUCUAAAGAUAUAAAAAAACUUAAUUGUGGUUAAAUUGCAAGUGAAGAACAAAUGAACAUAAUAGACCCAUCGACUUAUAUUCUGAAAUUUAUUUUAAUUUGAUUUCCUUGCUUUUAAGAACUGGAUGAAGAUAAACAACAUUAGCACAUGAAAGUUAGAAAAGAAAAGGUCUCUUGUUAUAUGCUGCUAUAUAUAUCUAAGACAUAGGAAUGACCAUAACUCGGUAUAUUUCAAAAUAUUCAUAGUACAAAACACAUUGUAAUAAUAUGAUUCCUACAGAGAUCUUUAUCUUGG